rnacentral:miRNA from 1 species
UUCAAAAGACUGUGUUUCAGGA